UUGUUUAAAACUCGAAGAAAUCAACAACAAAAGGAAGGAACCAAACGGAAGCCCUGCGCGUAAACAAUUUGUUAACUAAACGCAACAUUCAAGUUUAAUAAAUUGUAUUUGUGUGUGUGGAGGAGCAUGGAAAUGAACUAUUUAAGGCUAGAAUUUAAUUUAUAUUAUAUAUUCACACACGCAAACACACACACGCAUCUGCAAGGAAAAACAAAACAAAAACACACACACAUAGACAUUUAUAAAUAAUAAUAACAAAAACGAGAAGAAGAGAGAGUUUGCUGGUGUCGCAGUCAACGACGAGUUUUGUAAAUGUAUAGAUCAGAAAACAAGUGUAAUUUAACUCUAGGCACAAUAAUUGUUACAAAUAAAAGUCAAGCAAAAUAGCCAACCACUAUUUAA